rnacentral:rRNA from 1 species
GACGAACCGUCCAAACGUUAUUGGAAUCACUGGGCUUAAAGGGUGCGUAGGCUGCGCUGUUAGUCGGGUGUGAAAUCCCUCAGCUUAACUGAGGAAUAGCGCCCGAUACUGCAGUGCUGGAGGGAGACAGGGGUAAGCGGAACUGAUGGUGGAGCGGUGAAAUGCGUUGAUAUCAUCAGGAACACCGGUGGCGAAAGCGGCUUACUGGGUCUCUUCUGACGCUGAGGCACGAAAGCUAGGGGAGCGAACGGG